CUCUUUUCUUAUGAAUGAACCAAAGCCCGGUAGAACCCGGUAAAACUUGUGACGCCGCACGUAGGCUCUAAUAAAUUCCUCCCACGUCAACUCCGGUGCACAGCAGGCUUCACUCUGAUUGGCCAGCGAAACCGACUACAGGCCUUUGAUGAAAUGGGAAAAGAUGCUCCUGAUAGGAGCCUGAAUCGACCAGAAAACCCUUCAUCACCCUGUGAUGUAAUGUGUGGUUCAUCUGUCAGUUAGAAAACACUAACAGAGCUGAUCUCCUCGGGGGCUGAACAGUCUUCUGAGUUUUUUUUUUUCCUCUUUCAAUGAUAAAACAAGUUUUCUUCUUUCAAAAUUAAAAAUAAAUUCUUAUGUGAACCUCAAUCUGACCUGGUGUCAUAUGGCAAAUCAUAAUCUAGCUAUGUUAAGAAAUUCUUGACACAAUUCAAAACAUAUGACUUUCCACCAUUUUUUUAAAUUAUUGAAAUCUGUAGACAGGUUUACAGAUAACAAUCAGACAAAUAAACAAAAGAGGACUGAAAACAUUUAUUUGUUGGUGAAAAAAAAACAACUAACAACUGGUCACUUUCCAAUGUCUAUUAAUGUAAAAUGUAAUAAUGGAAACUGAUAAUCCAUUCUAACAGCAACAACAGGAUGGCACGUAACAGACAAAUUAAAACAGUAAACUUUCAACUUGGCAGG